AAAAAACAGAGAAUCCAGCCCUUUCAGUACUAAUGCUCCUUCACAAACAGGCCCAGCAGGUAUCCUCUAACUGUCGUUUCCCCAUGUCCUCCACUUCCAGAGGACAAGGAUAUGAAACCAUAGACUGUACCCAGCUCUGGAGACAAGCAUACAGCAGCAAGCCAAGGAAGAAAGGCAGAGCCUGUCUACAGGAAGGCAGAGUAAGGCACUGCAGCAGAUGUGAAUCCGAAAGGCAAAGACCGAUGAUGGAAAGAAAAUGGGUCUUGUGGGAAGCUAAAGUGGUGCUCCAUCACUCUGCAAACACAAAACAAGAACGUGCAAAACACCAGAAUGUGCCCAGCAGGAAACAGGCUUGUGUCAUUGGGCCAGAACGAUCAAAUCACUAUAAAUAUGAAGAUAAAUUAAGAAUAUCUGCUCUUCCUUACAUAUGUUGUUCCUUAGAGCUCUUACAAAUCCUUGUGAAAGCCAUCCCCCCUCUCACUGCAGCAUCUGGAUGUUCCAUUGACAGAGCAUUGUCUAACGGUUACAGCACAACUCCUGGUUUCUAUUACUGGUUGCAGGACAAAUGUGUGGUAUAUUAAAUAAAAUAGACACAGCAUUCAAAAUUUGCUGCACGCUUCGAUAUUUAGUCAGUAGUACAUUAAACUAGAUAAAUCAUUGAUUUUUUCUGUGACUAUUUCCCCAACAAUAGAAAAGUACGUUAGAUUGGGUGUUACAUAAUUCAAUGCUUGUGUUAAUAGCAGCCUGGGAUGAAAGAUGCCAGAGAAGUCAGCUUUUUAUUAGUACAUAUUGAACUGCAGAUACAUCCCUGAAAAGUGUUGCAGUUUGCAAAAAUGUUUGGUUCUGCAGAGUAAUCCUCUUCCAUAAGAGUUGACCUUUGAUAGAAACUAUUUUGGUGCGUUCAGCUUAUAGGACACAACAAAACCAGAAGUUACAAGAAAAAAGUGAUAUUUCUCUUUCUGAACAGCACACAACAUAAAGUCUACAUCUCAGGACUGCACAAAUAUACUUAAACAGGCAGCUCCUUUAGAAUUUAGGAAUAAGACCAUCAAAGAAAAUACCUGCUUCUUUCUAAAAACAUUUUUAGACUCUAACCACCAAGGUCAACCCCAAAACUUAUAGUAUUAUCUAUGUAAUUGUAAAAUAAUAAGCACCAUGGGUGAAGUCUCUGAUGCCAACUGACAAUAUCAAAUUAAAAACUUCC
rnacentral:lncRNA from 1 species